rnacentral:lncRNA from 10 species
CCCUGCGUGGGUCAAAUGGACCACGACUCCACUGAGCGUUUGGAUUACACUCAGAAUGCUGAGGGAAAAACGUUCAGAAUCUCACCCUUCAGGGAAAAGCGAUGGGACUCCGCGGUGCUCCUUGCCUACGAUUCCCGCACUGCCCAUGGGGAACGAAUCCUAUAUCGCUGAGCGCUUGGUAGGGAAUGUGGACUGUGACCCUGAGAGUCGUCCUUCCCUCUGCCUGAGUCCUUGAGCGAAAAUAUUGAAUAGACAGCAAUUCCUGAAGUCUAAACGCCUCCCAGGACUACGGAGGAUUAUUGGAAAGAGAACAAGCGAGGAGAUACAAUCUUCAAGGACUAAAUGGGGAAUGACUUUUUAGGGGUCAGUAGAUGAUUGAUGAUUGAUUACUAUAAACUGAUAAUAUGAGGCCAAAACUAAAAGUUGGAAGAGUGAGCAAGUACAAUGGUUUGGGAGAGGCAAUGAAGAACAAAGAAGGUGCCAGCCCCUACUCCAGACGCUGUGGUACCACUGGUUUGGCAGGAAAAACAAUCAUCAUUUGAGAGGGCCAGUGGGGAAGCCCUGUCCUCAUGGAAAAGCUAUCUUCUUUCGUUUACACUUUUCAUGGUAUUAUGUCUACUGAAGAGAUGUUGUCUCACUAUGUCGCCCAGACUGGAGUGCAGUGGCACAAUCUCAGCUUACUACAAGAUCUCCACCUCCCGGGUUCAAGCAAUUCUCCUGCCUCAACCUCCCGAGUAGCUGGGACUACAGGCACGUGCCACCAUCCCCAACUAAUUUUUUUUGUAUUUUUAGCAGAGAUGGGAUUUCACCAUGUUGGCCAGGAUGGUCUCAAUCUCUUGACCUCAUGAUCUACCCGCCUUGGCCUCCCAAAGUGCUGGGAUUACGGGCAUGAGCCACCCUGCCUUGCCUUGAAUCACUUCUUAUUUUCUUUUGUGCAUGUUUCAUUGAUAUUUUCUUUAUAGUCACCAAAAGUAUAUGUAACAUCCUAAAGUUAUAACAGUCUUUUAAAUUGAUACCAACUUAACUUCAAUCAGAUAUAAAAACCCUACUCCUUCACAGCUCUUUCCUUCCCGCACUGUUACUGAUCUCAUAGUACAUCUUUACAUAUCGUGUACUUAUUUACAUAGAUUGGUAGUCAUUUUUAUGCAUUUGUCUUUUACGUUGUAUGGAAAAUAAAAACUGGGAUUACAAACU